rnacentral:lncRNA from 1 species
UGGUUUUUUUUUACAUGGCCACAAAUCAUAUUUUAUACAGCUAUAGAUAUGUUUAACUAGAGGUUCGCGAUUUUUGUUGAGGUGAGUCUGAUUAUAGGCAAUUUAAGAAUAAUCGUCAAUCGUCCAAAAUUGGCAAUUAUUACUGAUAUUUUCUCACUUAACAAAUAAAACUAAAUAAUUUUUCAUGCAAAAAAAAUAACUUUUUUUUUUAAAAAACGAGAAUAAAAGUUACUGAACUAUUUAUCCUUUGAAACUCAAGACUUAACAAAAUUCAUCAUUUUUUGAAAGUUCCAUUUUCUCCUUCCAGCUACCUAUUAUGUUAAAAUUUUGGAGUAUAGAAUAUGAUGUGUUUCGGCUAUGUAAAUAUUUCAAAUGCCCCAGAGUUAAUUUUAUCCCCAUUUGCAUGGAACUGUAUUUUUCAGCAUAUAAUUUUACCCAAGCCUGGACCAAUAUUGAAAGUUGGAUUUGCGGAUGGUAUAGCUGUGAUAAUGACUGGAAUAGAUAUGUCAACUAUGGGUUCUAUCAUACAAAAUGGGUGAAUGAAAUGAGCGGAUCUGUGGAAGAAAUUGGUCUUAAGUUGAGUGAAAAUAAAACGAAAGCAAUCUUAUGUACUUGGUCUCAUAAAGUGAACAUACCGAUAUUUUAUAUGAACAGAACAAUUUUAGAAUGGGUAAAGCCAGUAAAAGUAUAUUGGUUUAGUUAUCGAUAGAAGAUUGAAUUGGAAAGCGCAUUUAGAUUACAUUAUCAAAAAGGUUAAAUGGGCUUUAUUCUCUGCCCUUAAAAUGACUGGGACGCAAUUGGUGUAAUACCACUUUAUGCUAAAUGGAUACGUAAAACCUAUGUUGAAUCGAUUUUGACUUACACAGCAGGAAUAUGGGCACCACGUAUAAAAACGAAUGAGUUCCGAAUUAAGAGGUUGAGAAGAAUAAAUAGAUUAGCAUGCCUACUGUUUUGUACUGUGAUGAGAUCUACACCAACUAGAGCUAUGGAAAUCUUGCUCAAUGUUACACCUUUACAUCUAAGUAUAAAACGAUUAUAGGCAAAAAUAGAAAUAGAAGAAAACAUUAGUAUAACCUGGAUCCCUACAAAUAAAGCCAAAGGAGGGGCUUGGCUGAUCCAAGAAGUGGUGAAAUCAAUUUUAAAUAUCUUUAAAGCACUAAUAGUAGUUACUGAAAAAAAAAAAUCCCAUACCAUUUCAAUUGAAAUAGAAAAGCAAGGAGGAGCGAUUAGUUCAAAAUUUCUCCACGUUUAUAUAGAUGGCACAAAAAUUGAUGACAAAGUUGGAUAUGGCUGGUGUAUAACUUAUGAAGAUACCUAUGUUAUGGAAGGCUGUGGCAACUUAAAAUGGUAUAAUUCUGUUUUUCAAGCAUAAUUGGAGGGUAUUUUAAAGACAUUACGUGCUCUCAAUAGUAUAGAAAAAUUUGUUCAAAUGCCUAUCAAAAUUUUCCUGGACAUUUCAGCUGCUAUUAGUUCUGUAGCUAAAAAUGAAAGCUUCUUUAAGGGUCAACAAGUUAAGGGGAUAGAAGAAAUAAAGUGUUUGAAAAGGAAUUUGACAAUAACAUGGAUAAAAAGUUAUUGGGAUUAUACAGAAAAUACAUAUGUAGAUGCGCUUGACAAGAAUGGCGGAACCUUACAAGAAAAAUCGAAAGUGGAAGUUCUCAAAAGUGUAGUCUCGUCCGAGAUAAAUAAGUACAUAAGGAAAACAUCGGAACAGGAAUGGGUAGAAGACACAACGUGCCGACAAGCAAAAUUCUUUUUGGAGGAGCCUACUUCGUUUUAAUGGCGUUUUUUAAAGUGGUGUUGUAAUAUUUGUAUAGACGGUUUUAGGGCUUUGUUUUGGUAUUUAAAAUUUUUGCUAUAAAAGAUGUGAUUUUAGUAUUUGAAAGUAUAUUCCAGUCUUAGGGGCAUAUGUUACACGGGUUGCCACAUUUAAUUGGGGUUGCCGUGGCUUUAGGAGGAGAUGGUUAUCUCGUCUACGUACCCUUAAGGCGUGUAAUAGUACUACUUAAUAAAAUAAAUCAAUUCAACGCUGCAGCAACAGAAGGGGCGCACUCCCACGGUUCCCAGGAAAACGGAAGAAAUGCAAUCCCACUCUUCAACUUUGGAUUUCUCAAACAGCCCUGCAACUGAAUUGGCUUUAUUUAAAUCCAAAUAUCUUAUUGGAAGCAGACUGACGUCACAUGAACCGACUCAAACUGUGGAAUUGAGGACCUUUUUUUGAUCCGCAUCCGCUAUAUAUGUGGCUUAUCGUUGAAAAUUUAAAAUAUAGGUACCAAUCUAUGAUGACAGAAACUGUGGAGAUCAAGUUUCUUCCAUCUAUGACUUCAAAGAAACGAAGUGGGUUUCCUAGAAUGAAGCUGUGUUUCCUCAUUUAUCAUACCUGUUUAUUUUUAAGAACUCUACAUAUUGUAAUUUUCCAACAUCAACAAUUCCCACUUUUUAAAUGUAAAGAUUUCUGUUUUGUAAAUGUUUUUUGUUUGGGAGAGAGAAAAUACCACGUUAGUCAUUUUUGUGCUUUUAAAAUAUAAUUUAUUAUAGUGCAUUCACUUAAACAGACAAGACAAAUUUUAAAUCACAAAACUUUACAUUUUAAAAGGUAGAGUUGUUGCAGUUAAAAGAUUAUAAUAUGCAAAAUUCUUUGAAAGAAAUGGCGUUUACCCUCAUGAUAGAUGAUGUGACAUAGUCACUAUUUAAAGUUGAUUAAAAAUUUCUUUUUAAAAAUACAUUUUACUUUUAUAUAAUAGUGGAAGCUGUUUUAUUUUGGAGCACUAAGUUUUUUUCUAUAAUGUUUAUUUAUGUAUCAACGAAAUUAUU